UGGGGAAUUUUGGACAAUGGGGGCAACCCUGAUCCAGCAAUGCCGCGUGAGUGAAGAAGGCCUUCGGGUUGUAAAGCUCUUUUGUCAGGGAUGAAACGGUGAGGGCUAAUAUCCUUUGCUAAUGACGGUACCUGAAGAAUAAGCACCGGCUAACUACGUGCCAGCAGCCGCGGUAAUACGUAGGGUGCAAGCGUUAAUCGGAAUUACUGGGCGUAAAGCGUGCGCAGGCGGUUAUGUAAGUCAGAUGUGAAAUCCCCGGGCUCAACCUGGGAAUGGCAUUUGAGACUGCAUGGCUAGAGUGUGUCAGAGGGGGGUAGAAUUCCACGUGUAGCAGUGAAAUGCGUAGAGAUGUGGAGGAAUACCGAUGGCGAAGGCAGCCCACUGGGAUAACAAUGACGCUCAUGCACGAAAGCGUGGGGAGCAAACAGG
rnacentral:rRNA from 1 species